rnacentral:rRNA from 1 species
UACAGAGGUCUCAAGCGUUGUUCGGAUUCAUUGGGCGUAAAGGGUGCGUAGGCGGCGGAGCAAGUCAGGUGUGAAAUCCCGGGGCUCAACCCCGGAACUGCACUUGAUACUGCCUUGCUAGAGUACUGGAGAGGAGAUUGGAAUUUACGGUGUAGCAGUGAAAUGCGUAGAUAUCGUAAGGAAGACCAGUGGCGAAGGCGACUCUCUGGACAGUUACUGACGCUGAGGCACGAAGGCCAGGGGAGCAAACGGG